GAUGAACGCUAGCUACAGGCUUAACACAUGCAAGUCGAGGGGAAACGACAUCGAAAGCUUGCUUUUGAUGGGCGUCGACCGGCGCACGGGUGAGUAACGCGUAUCCAACCUGCCCAUCACUUGGGGAUAACCUUGCGAAAGUAAGACUAAUACCCAAUGAUAUCUCUAGAAGACAUCUGAAAGAGAUUAAAGAUUUAUCGGUGAUGGAUGGGGAUGCGUCUGAUUAGCUUGUUGGCGGGGUAACGGCCAACCAAGGCAACGAUCAGUAGGGGUUCUGAGAGGAAGGUCCCCCACAUUGGAACUGAGACACGGUCCAAACUCCUACGGGAGGCAGCAGUGAGGAAUAUUGGUCAAUGGGCGAGAGCCUGAACCAGCCAAGUAGCGUGCAGGAAGACGGCCCUAUGGGUUGUAAACUGCUUUUAUAAGGGAAUAAAGUGAGAGUCGUGACUCUUUUUGUAUGUACCUUAUGAAUAAGGACCGGCUAAUUCCGUG
rnacentral:rRNA from 1 species